UACAGAGGUCUCAAGCGUUGUUCGGAAUCACUGGGCGUAAAGGGUGCGUAGGCGGCGGGGAAAGUCAGAUGUGAAAUCCGGAGGCUCAACCUCCGAAUUGCAUCCGAUACUCCCUCGCUAGAGAGUUGUAGAGGAGCUUGGAGUUCUCGGUGUAGCAGUGAAAUGCGUAGAUAUCGAGAAGAACGCUCGCAGCGAAGGCGAAGCUCUGGGCAAUUUCUGACGCUGAUGCACGAAGGCUAGGGGAGCAAACGGG
rnacentral:rRNA from 1 species